AGGGUUUGAUCCUGGCUCAGGAUGAAUGCUGGCGGCGUGCUUAACACAUGCAAGUCGAGCGAGAGAGUUUCUUUGGAAACAAUCUAGCGGCGGACGGGUGAGUAACACGUGGGCAACCUGCCUUGUAGUGGGGGAUAGCCCUCCGAAAGGAGGAUUAAUACCGCAUAUUGUCACAUUGAGGCAUCUCAAAGUGAUGAAAGGAGUAAUCCGCUACAAGAUGGGCCCGCGGCGCAUUAGCUAGUUGGUGAGGUAACGGCUCACCAAGGCGACGAUGCGUAGCCGACCUGAGAGGGUGAUCGGCCACAUUGGGACUGAGACACGGCCCAGACUCCUACGGGAGGCAGCAGUGGGGAAUAUUGCACAAUGGGGGAAACCCUGAUGCAGCAACGCCGCGUGAGUGAUGAAGGUCUUCGGAUUGUAAAGCUCUGUCUUCGGGGACGAUAAUGACGGUACCCGAGGAGGAAGCCACGGCUAACUACGUGCCAGCAGCCGCGGUAAUACGUAGGUGGCAAGCAUUAUCCGGAUUUACUGGGCGUA
rnacentral:rRNA from 2 species